rnacentral:rRNA from 1 species
UACGUAGGCAGCAAGCGUUGUUCGGAAUUACUGGGCGUAAAGAGUGUGUAGGCGGUGCUCCAAGUCUGGUGUGAAAUCUCCCGGCUUAACUGGGAGGGUGCAUUAGAAACUGGAAUGCUAGAGGAUGGGAGAGGUAAGCGGAAUUCCUGGUGUAGCGGUGAAAUGCGCAGAUAUCAGGAGGAACACCGGUGGCGAAGGCGGGUCUCUGGGCCGUAACUGACGCUGGAGGAGCGAAAGCGUGGGGAGCGAACAGG